AACAAACGCUGGCGGCGUGCCUAACACAUGCAAGUCGUACGAGAAAGGGUCCUUCAGGGCCUGAGUAAAGUGGCGCACGGGUGAGUAACGCGUGGACAAUCUGCCCUUCAGUUGGGAAUAACUCAUCGAAAGGUGGGCUAAUACCGAAUAAUGCUGUGAGACCUCGGUUGAUCAGCCAAAGAGAGCCUCUGCUUGCAAGCCCUCGCUGAAGGAUGAGUCCGCGUACCAUUAGCUAGUUGGUAGGGUAAUGGCCUACCAAGGCGACGAGGGUUAGCUGGUCUGAGAGGAUGAUCAGCCACACUGGAACUGAGACACGGUCCAGACUCCUACGGGAGGCAGCAGUGAGGAAUCUUGCGCAAUGGGGGCAACCCUGACGCAGCAACGCCGCGUGAGUGAGGAAGGUCUUCGGAUCGUAAAGCUCUGUCGGAUGGAAAGAACCGCAUAGGGGUAAACAGCCCCUGUGUCUGACGGUACCAUCAAAGGAAGCACCGGCUAACUCCGUGCCAGCCGCCGCGGUAAGAC
rnacentral:rRNA from 1 species